ensembl:misc_RNA Metazoa_SRP Metazoan signal recognition particle RNA
GCUGGGCGUGGCGGUGUGUGCCUGUAAUCCCAGCUACUUGGGAGGCUGAGGCAGGAGAAUCGCUUGAACCUGGGAGGCAGAGGUUGCAGUGAGCUGAGAUUGCAUCACUGAACUCCAGCCUGGAGACAGAGCUAGACUCCCUCUCAAAAGAAAAAAAAAAUGAGCUGGGCAUGGGGGCGUGUGCCUGUACUUAGGAGGCUAAGGUGAGAGGAUUGCUUGAGCAAAGGAGGUCAAGGUUGCAGUGAGCUAUGAUCACACCACUGCACUCCAGCCUGGGUGACAAAGUGAGAUCCUGUCUCAA